AUCCACAUGACUCUCGGCAACGGAUAUCUCGGCUCUCGCAUCGAUGAAGAACGUAGCGAAAUGCGAUACCUGGUGUGAAUUGCAGAAUCCCGCGAACCAUCGAGUCUUUGAACGCAAGUUGCGCCCGAGGCCUUCUGGCCGAGGGCACGCCUGCCUGGGCGUC
rnacentral:rRNA from 1 species